rnacentral:rRNA from 1 species
AAAGAAGGAGGGGGGCAUGCCUAACACAUGCAAGUCGAACGAGACCUUCGGGUCUAGUGGCGCACGGGUGCGUAACGCGUGGGAACCUGCCCUUAGGUUCGGAAUAACUCCCCGAAAGGGGUGCUAAUACCGGAUAAUGUCUUCGGACCAAAGAUUUAUCGCCUUUGGAUGGGCCCGCGUUGGAUUAGCUAGUUGGUAGGGUAAAAGCCUACCAAGGCGACGAUCCAUAGCUGGUCUGAGAGGAUGAUCAGCCACACUGGGACUGAGACACGGCCCAGACUCCUACGGGAGGCAGCAGUGGGGAAUAUUGGACAAUGGGCGAAAGCCUGAUCCAGCAAUGCCGCGUGAGUGAUGAAGGCCUUAGGGUUGUAAAGCUCUUUUACCCGGGAUGAUAAUGACAGUACCGGGAGAAUAAGCUCCGGCUAACUCCGUG